UGUGAUGUAGCUUAGUGGUAGAGUACUUACCUAACACGUGUGAGGACCUGGGUUCAAUUCCAGGACCACAC
rnacentral:tRNA from 1 species